rnacentral:rRNA from 1 species
ACGUAGGGUGCGAGCGUUAAUCGGAAUUACUGGGCGUAAAGCGUGCGCAGGCGGCUUUGUAAGACAGACGUGAAAUCCCCGGGCUCAACCUGGGAAUUGCGUUUGUGACUGCAAGGCUAGAGUACGGUAGAGGGGGGUAGAAUUCCGCGUGUAGCAGUGAAAUGCGUAGAUAUGCGGAGGAACACCGAUGGCGAAGGCAAUCCCCUGGGCCUGCACUGACGCUCAUGCACGAAAGCGUGGGGAGCAAACAGG